rnacentral:rRNA from 1 species
GUAGUCCACGCCGUAAACGGUGGGCGCUAGUUGUGCGAACCUUCCACGGUUUGUGCGACGCAGCUAACGCAUUAAGCGCCCCGCCUGGGGAGUACGAUCGCAAGAUUAAAACUCAAAGGAAUUGACGGGGCCCCGCACAAGCAGCGGAGCAUGCGGCUUAAUUCGACGCAACGCGAAGAACCUUACCAAGGCUUGACAUAUACAGGAAUACGGCAGAGAUGUCGUAGCCGCAAGGUCUGUAUACAGGUGGUGCAUGGUUGUCGUCAGCUCGUGUCGUGAGAUGUUGGGUUAAGUCCCGCAACGAGCGCAACCCUCGUUCUGCGUUGCCAGCAUUUAGUUGGGGACUCACAGGAGACUGCCGGGGUUAACUCGGAGGAAGGUGGGGAUGACGUCAAAUCAUCAUGCCCCUUAUGUCUUGGGCUGCACGCAUGCUACAAUGGCUGGUACAAACGGCUGCGAUACCGCAAGGUGGAGCGAAUCCGAUAAAGCCAGUCUCAGUUCGGAUUGGGGUCUGCAACUCGACCCCAUGAAGUCGGAGUUGCUAGUAAUCGUAGAUCAGCAACGCUACGGUGAAUACGUUCCCGGGGCUUGUACACACCGCCCGUCACAUCACGAAAGUCGGUAACACC